rnacentral:misc_RNA from 1 species
GGAAAAUGUCCCAAUUCAAGCACUUGUACACCAGUGGGUUGAGCUGUUUACGUGGUCCUCCAGCCAAAACGCGGAAGGAUAAUGCGGAUCCAUUUGUAAGAAGAAACAUCCAGACCAUUUCCACCGUUUUGCCUGAUUGUUGUAAAGAAAAUAUAUUGGCACGAACUCCUGGUCUAAGGAAGUUAGGAAUUCGUGGGAAGUUAGCUACACUUGUGGCUACAAAUGGAGACUCAAGCUUGUUCGAUAAUCUUGCCAAAUUGGACAACCUGGAGACUCUGAAGCUGCUUAAUGACACAUUUCCUCUCCCCCCAUCCCAAUGUCAAAUACCCGGUCUUCCCCAAUCGUACAAGUUCCCGCCAAACCUGAAGAAGCUGAC